GACGAACGCUGGCGGCGUGCCUAAUACAUGCAAGUAGAACGCAGUUGCGAACGGGUGAGUAACGCGUAGGUACCUGCCUCAUAGCGGGGGAUAACUAUUGGAAACGCUAGCAAUACCGCAUACUGUGAGAUGGACCUGCGUUGUAUUAGCUAGUUGGUGGGGUAAAGGCUCACCAAGGCGACGCUACAUGGCCGACCUGGAUGGGGGAUUGGCCAAACUGGGACUGGGACACGGCCCAGGAUCCUAACGGAGGCAGGAGGAGGGGAACUUCCGCAAAGGACGGAAGGCUGAACGGGCAACGGCCCGGGAGGGAAGAAAGGUUUCGGGUCGGAAAGCGCUGGUGUUAGAGAAGCGGUAACUAACCAGAAAGCGACGGCUAACUACGUGCCAGCAGCCGCGGUAAUUC
rnacentral:rRNA from 1 species